AGGAAUUACUAUCUAGACAUGUCAAGUAUGCUUUAUGUACUUUUUUACGAUAAAACCCAAUAAAAUCAGCAUUAAGUCUAUAGAGCUAAUAUUUUAAAAGAACUGCUGGUUUUAUGUAUGAAAAUAAAAGUUUUUUUUUGCUUAUAUCUGUUUAUGCAUAAAAUCUUUAUACCCUCAAAACUAUAAUUUACAUUGAUUGAUUUAAUUUUUAUUUUAUAGGAUAUCCAAGAUGCAAUUCCUCACUUGUCUAUAUCACAAGGUCUGACAUAUGAUGACAAUGAAGUUAUGUACAUUUCUGAUGGUUAUCCAUCUAAGCAUGGCACUUAUCAUUCACUACAGCUUGCGCGAGCUGCUUCUGCAAAUCAAAGCUUCCGUCACUGGUGGGUGCUCCCAUCUUGACGCAGAUGAACCACUUGAGAAUUUCGACGCAAGUCUUUCCCGGAGGACAGCUGUAGUCACCACCAGGA